CCGGCGACGGGUGAGUAACGCGUAUCUAACGUUCCUAUGAGGAGGGGACGUACCGGCGAAAGUCGGACUAAUACCGCAUGAAGCAGGGAUCCCGCAUGGGAAUAUUUGCUAAAGAUUCAUCGCUGAUAGAUAGGCAUGCGUUCCAUUAGGCAGUUGGCGGGGUAACGGCCCACCAAACCGACGAUGGAUAGGGGUUCUGAGAGGAAGGUCCCCCACAUUGGUACUGAGACACGGACCAA
rnacentral:rRNA from 1 species